rnacentral:sRNA from 1 species
AAAUGAACAACGCAAAUUAUUCACGUUCUCAAUAAAAGCAUUUAGGGUGAGAAACCCGUUGCCCUCGUGGCGAUGUGAGGUUUCCAUGACCUUUCCGAAUCGUCAAGAGAAUGGAGAGGGAGUUUACAUGGCCAAUCUUGGGUGCAGCGCUCUUCCUCUCUUCCAUGAAGAGGGCUGCAAUGAUUGGCUAUACAU